UUGUAAACAUUUCCUCCCUUGCUUUAAGUUUUUAAACUUUUAAGUAAAGCAACAUUAACUUUCUCUGCCACGUAUCAGCCGUUAAAGCACCUCUUCUUCUAAAGAAUUCAGCUGCCAGAACCCAAAAGUGCUGGUUAACAGAUAGUGCCUUCGGAUCAGAUGUCUUCCUCUUCCACUACCCCGUCUGUCCUCCUAAAUACUGGGGUUCAGAUGCCAAUCUUGGGUUUGGGGACCUACAAAUUGGUGGAUUCUGAAGAUGUCUUCAAGGCUGUGGACGCAGCGCUUGUUGCUGGUUAUCGGUCCUUUGACAGUGCAGCCGUCUACGGGAAUGAAGCUGACCUGGGCCAAGCCCUGAAGAAGCUCCUGCCCAAACAUGGCUUAACCCGAGAGGAUGUAUUCAUCACCAGUAAGCUGGGCUCCAUGGAUCAAGGAGAGAGAGCCAUGGAAGGAGUCCUCCACAGCCUGUCUCAGCUGGACUUGGGUUACAUUGACCUCUACCUGAUCCACUGGCCUGGCACACGGGGUCUGGAGGUGGAUGACCAACGCAACCCAGGCAACCGAGCUCAGAGUUGGGCCACGCUGGAGGAGCUGCAUGCCCAGGGGAAGCUGAAGGCCAUAGGAGUGUCCAACUACACACCAGCACACAUGAGAGAACUGAUGCAGAGCUGCAAAAUCACUCCUGCGGUGAACCAGGUCGAGUUUCACCCAAAGCUGUGCCAGAAAGAGCUGAGGAGAGUGUGUGAGGAGUACGGAGUGUGUUUCCAAGCGUAUUCUUCCUUAGGGAAGGGAGACCUGGUCACUGAUCCUGUGGUUAUGGAGGUGGCAAAGAACUGUGAACGUACACCUGCACAGGUCUUUUUGUCCCUCCAGGUCCUGUUGCGCUGGGCUGUGCAGCAGGGCGUCCCAGUGCUGCCCAAGUCGUCAAAUCCAGACAGAAUAAAGGACAAUGCCAGGCUUUUUGACUUCACACUGAGUGACACAGACAUGGACAGACUGUCAUCUUUGGACUGUGGGCGCAAGUACUGCCGGGACGCAUCAGACAUUGUUUGACAGACCACAAGUGGAGCACACAUAGUCUUCCAUGAUGCCUCUGACGCUGCUGUCCUUUCGCUCAUUUCAACAACUACUUUAGAUGCACCGGGCGAAUAUAUUGAGGAUUUAGGGCGAAUCCAAGUCUUUCCGGUUUGGCCAUUUGGCCAAUCAGCAGCGACACGCAGCUCUCACGUGACUGUCAUCGUUCCGCGUGCAGCGCCAGGUGUAAGCUAAUUGUAAACACUUCCCCAUGUUCAACGAUUAAAGUUUAAAAUAAGGUGACGUUUCCUAUCGUUUACACACGCCGCUUACUCGUGCACCUCUUUGCCAAAAGAAUUCAGCUGAAAGGGCUCAAAGGUGAGCUAAAGUAUCAGUAAUGGUGGAAGUUAAAGGCGUUUUCAAUUCGCUAAAUUGAACUGUGUUGCGUGUUUGCCUUAUCGAUACUGCGCGUUAAUGCGACAAUGUUUGCAUGUAUUCUGGCGUUUUUAUGGGACGUCGUUUGAGCAAAUAUCGUUAAGAUUUUGUGUACAGUAGCUGCACUGAAGUCAACUUUUCACUUCAAAAACAAUUUGACGCUACAUCGUUACGUCCCAGUGCUCGGAAUGUGUAUCAUACAAAGGGCCUCGUGCAGACACAGUCAGAGUUAGAAAAAUAAAACAAGUCAACACCAGAUGCAGCAGGAAAUGUCUCAAGAUCCCACCUCAUCAUAAGUAACUUAGUCGAGGGAAUGCUCCUUAAUCACAAUGUGCAAAUACUGUGACACACCCCCCAAAAAACUGGAGAGGUGUCAUUUAAUAAACGUGUCAGUAGUGGUGUCAAAGGGAAAUAAAAAAACUCCAGCAAUGGCAAAACAUCUGUGAUGCUGUAAAUGUGUGUCAGCAUCAGUGAUAAAGUACUCACAUCCUUUAGGUAAAUAAAAGUACUACAAGUAAUUUAAGUACCCAUUGGAAAAAUGUAAUUAAGUACAUUUAUUCUAAUACUGUACAUAAGAACAAAUGUGAGAUUCUUGUACUUUAAGUAUUUUCUUUUCAUGCCCCUUUAUACUUUUACUCCACCACAUUUAUGAGGGCAAUAUUGUACUUUUUACUUUACUACAUUCAUCUGAUCAACUUCAGUUAUGAGUUGCUUUGCAAAUUAUAUUUUUGUAGACAAAAAGAUAAGAGUUUUUAAAAUCUGAUGUUUAGUUAUAAAUGAAAUAAACAAAGUGUUUAUACGAAUACAGCCGAAAUAAUCAAUUUAUUAAUCAAUUAGUCAAUUCGAAGAAAAUUAAGUGGCGUCUAUUUU